rfam:Rhizobium sp. PDO1-076 strain PDO-076 ctg149, whole genome shotgun sequence.
CGACCCCCUCCCGGUAAAGGCGCAGUCCGCCAGCCGGAAGCGAGUCUUGCAUGGGCGACGGCAACGUCGCUCGUGAAGCGUAGACAGCGGAUGUUGAAGCCUUGGGGUAGCCCCGAAAUCAUGUAGUUGCUGAGAGCCUUCGGUCUGUUGGGCCCGGGGGCAGCACUGGCAGGACCGUCACAGACGAGGUCCUUUCAGCUCGGCCGGGGUCUUGGAACA